rnacentral:rRNA from 1 species
AUUGAACGCUGGCGGCAUGCUUUACACAUGCAAGUCGAACGAGUGGCGGACGGGUGAGUAAUGCUUGGGAAUCUAGCUUAUGGAGGGGGAUAACUACGGGAAACUGUAGCUAAUACCGCGUACCAUAGGAUGAGCCCACAGGGGAUUAGUUAGUUGGUGAGGUAAAGGCUCACCAAGCCGACGAUCACUAGCUGGUAUGAGAGGAUGACCAGCCACCCUGGGACUGAGACACGGCCCAGACUCCUACGGGAGGCAGCAGUGGGGAAUAUUGCGCAAUGGGGGCAACCUGACGCAGCCAUGCCGCGUGAAUGAAGAAGGCCUUCGGGUUGUAAAGUUCUUUGGGUAGCGAGGCGUUAGCUACAGAAGAAGCACCGGCUAACUCCGUGCCAGCAGCCGCGGUAAUUC